UACGGAGGGUGCAAGCGUUGUUCGGAAUUAUUGGGCGUAAAGCGCGCGCAGGCGGUCUGAAAAGUCUAUGGGUGAAAUGCCGGGGCUCGACCCCGUGCAUGCCCAGGAUACUGUCAGACUGGAGACAGGUAGAGGCAAGCGGAAUUCCGGGUGUAGCGGUGGAAUGCGUAGAGAUCCGGAAGAACACCGGAGGCGAAGGCGGCUUGCUGGGCGUGAUCUGACGCUGAGGCGCGAAAGCGUGGGGAGCGAACAGG
rnacentral:rRNA from 1 species